UGGUGGGGAGGGCAGGGUAGGAGCAGGGUCAGGAGGCAGCUGGUCACAAGCACCCACAGUCAGGAUACAGAGAGAUGGGGGCUGGGCUCAGCUCUCUUUCUCCUUUUCAUUCAGUCCGUGGCUCCGGCCCUUGGCACGGUGCUGCCUACAUUCAGGGAGGAUUUUGUUUGCUAAGUUAAAUCUCUCUGGAGCUGUGUCUCCUCUGUGAUUCUGAAUCCAGCCAUGUUGACAAUGAAGAUGAACAUCCCACACUCCAUCUUGGCAGCAGGGAGAGAGAGAACCAUGGGGCCUGGCAUGGACUCCUGAAACCUCAAAGCUCACUGCCAGUGACACACACUUCCUCCAACAAGGCCACACCUCUGACCCUUUCAGACAGGGCCACAUCCUGGUAGCAGCUUGAAUGAGGAUGUCUUCCAAGGGAUGGUAUGUUUGAACUUGGUCCCCACUUGGUUGGCACUGUCUGCAGGAGGAUUACGGUGUGUAGCCUUGCUAGAGAAAGUAGUCACUGGGGUGGCCUUUGAGUGCACAUAGUCUCUCCCCACAUCUGGGUCCUGUCUGAGAUGUGAGUUCUCAAAUUCCCUCCCCUGCUGCCUUGCAGGUCUGCUGUGAUGGACUUUCGUACCCUCCAGAACCACAGUCUUCCAUCUAUAAGUGCACUGACCGUUUCUUCACAGCAACGUGAAAGUAGCUACCACAGGGCCAUUCACUCAUCCGUUCAACCCACAUUCGCAGGCUCUGGGGAGUCCCCUGGGCAGAGGGCCUUGCCUCAACCUUAGGACUAGGUGCUGUGCAAAAUGUAACAAGAGUUCCAACAUUUGCUGCCUUCAAAGUCACAAAUUUGGAGGGCUGGCAAGAAGGCUUGGCUGCAGAACCAUGAGAACCUGGGUUUGAGUCCCCAGCCCCGUUUAAGUCAGGCACGGUCCUUCCUUCCUCCUUCCUUCCUUCCUUCCUUCCUUCCUUCCUUCCUUUGGAUAGGGUUUUUCUGUGUAGCCCUGGCUGUCUUGUAACUCAGUUUGUAGACCAGGCUGGCCUUGAACUCAGAGUUUCACCUAUCUCUGCAGAUUAAAGUGCUGGGCUUAAAGGCACAUGCCACCACAACCCAGCACAGUUUUCUUUAAGAGUGUAGGCCGUGGUAAACUUACUGUGCUUCUGUGAAAGCCAGCAUAUCCAAGAAUAUAUAGGAAGUACAAAUUGGACUUGAUGGGUGAAAAAAAGGGGGGGGGGCACACAAAAUUGAAUUGGUAGGGAAGGAGAGUGGAUUUGGCAGGACUUGGGGAGUGGAUAUGUUCAAAACACAUUAUUUGGGAUUCUGUAAGAACUAAUAAAAAAACCUAACUGGCAACAAAGAGAGAAAAUUGAAUAUAUUUGAAAAUUUAUAUAAAUGAAAAAGAUUGGUGGACAGACUAGCCUUAUAGAUCUGCAUGUGAGCCAUCUACAGCACAGAGAUGGAGGUGGCUGGCUGGCUGGCCGCCCAGGAUUUAGAUUCCCUGGAUUUGCAGCCUGCCCAGUUAAAGACUACAUUUCCCAGCACCCUUUGUGUUUAGGGACAGCCACAUGACCAAUUCUCACCAAUGGGGUAGGGUAGAGAAGGCAGAGGUGACUGGGUUCACCUCCCUCCACAUCUUUUGAAGGACCCCUCCUAGGGUAUUAAGUAUGGAGCAUCCCAGGUGAAGGGAUGCUGUAUCCCGAGUCACGCCAUUAGGCCUUUAGAAGAACAAGAGUUGCAUUUGGGAAAGAGAUCUGGGGUCAUUUGUUUUACAGUGGCCUGUCCUAUUAACUGAAUGUGACUGGGUCCGCUCUUUCCAGCCACCUCUUCUACUUCAUUUCCUGUGGGCUCCAUCCUACUUUACACAGGAUGUCUACAGGCAACUCUAGACCAAGAAGCAACUCCAGAGGGUCCCGGGCUCGUGGCCACAGAAAGGAACACGUACCCCUUUUGCUAGUUUGGUAAGGACGGACGAGUGAGAUGACUCGUUGGAAAGGUGCUUGCCUUAGGGCAAAUCCCUGGAUCCCACAUGAUGGAGGGACAGAACUGGUCCCUACAAGCUGUCUCCCGACCUCCAUAGCGUGCUAUAGCGCGCAUGCGCCCUUUGGUGAGCAAGUAAAUGAAGGCGAUAAAAAUUUAAGCAAGAGUUUGACUAAGCCCCAGGCUGCCUGCUUGUGAGGAUGGCCUAAAAUAAUGAGCAACCGUGCCGAGGUGUGACAGGGCACGCCAGGAUCAGCCUGGGCGCUGGCCUUGUGGUGGUGGUGGUGGGAGGCUGGAUGUUGGGCACCUGCCUGUCACCUUUAAUGUGUCCUGUUCUCACAGUCUCCCUGGCGACAGUGUCCUUUGCUGUUCAGCGAGGGGAUUGGAUAUAUGGGGUCAUGGGAGGGGCUUCUAAAGAGAAGCGACCUCGGACGGUUGCCCGGAUCUGAUAUGUGGCAAAGCUCAGGCUUCCACGUGGUGGUAACCUGUGCUCCGGGCUGCCUUCUUCCUUUUGUUCUCUCUCACAUCCAUGCAGGACGUUUCCUGGAAAGACAUCAAUGCCCGGCCCGACAUGUGCGUUUUUUGAACAUCACUUUUCCGUCUUUCCUGCUGUCGGUACUCGGGUUAGCUUGGCUGCCAUGCUGACCCUUUGAUCAGAGCCUGCCACUCCUGCUCCCGGCUAGCUGCUUCAAACCCUGAGGCAGAGUUUCCGUGUUACCACCUAGAAGCUGCUGCAGCUUCACCUCAUGGGUGAAGGGUCCGACUCCUCUUCCUCCUGGACGCCCUCCAAGCUGCCUGGGUCAUGAUGAGCUCCCUGAACCUCUGGGGUGACUCCUGCUGCUGCAGCUAAUUGUGUUUGGUUCUGUCCUCCAGUAGAGCUGAGCAGAAGCAAGGAAAUCAAAUCAAAUCAAGAUGACAUUUAUUUAAUGUGGGCUAACCGUCAGGCGCCCCACUGGGGGCGUUGGCACCUCACUCUAAUUUGCUUCUCACCGAGCAGCCCCGCAAAUGGAAUAACCGGACUCACACUUUUUUGUGCACAUAAAGAAACCAAAACAAGACAGACAGCAUCCCAAGAACAAUGUCACACACAAAGAGGAAGGAACAGGCCACGGUGUUCCUGUGCAAGUCAGAAGACAACCCCAGGCAUCAGUCCUUGCCUCCCAUGUUCAAGGCAGGGUCUUUGUUCACAGCCACAUAUACCAAGCUAGCUGGCAUAAGUGCUUCUGGGGAUUGCUCUGCCUCCUUAAAGGAAUGCUGGAAUCAUAGGCAACACCCCACACUGUCCCCAUUCCAGCACUCCCUUCUCCGGGUAUUCGAACUCAGGUCCUCGUACUUGUUCGCAAUCACUUUUCCCACUGAGCCAUCCCACUAGCCCUAGGAAUAGGUUUCUAUGUAUUUGUUUGUUUAUUUUUAAUUGAUUGGUUAAUUAGUCGAGUCUAGGUCUCACUAUGUAGCCCCUGCUAGCCUGGAACUCAAUGCAGAGACCAGGCUGGUCUUGUACUCUCAGAGAUUCCCCUGCUGAGUGCUGGGAUCAAAGGUGCGCGCCAUCACUGCCCGACCCUCAUUCAGCAUUUACCGAGGGGUAUGAGCUAGCUUCCUGGCUGUUGGAGGUGGGGUAGCGUGGACAGGGUGGAAGGUGUGUGUCGGCGUCUCCAGAACGUAGCGAUUAAGGGCAAAGACUCUGGGAUCCGCAUCAGCAUUUGAGCUGUGCGCCCCACGUAAGGCACGCUCCUCUCUCAGGCUCUGACUGUCCCUGUGGGCAGCUGUUAGGAUGCCAGCCGUUGCUCUAUUCUGCCUCGUUUUCCAAACCCCUGGGCUGCACUUACAGGGUGCUUACUGUGCACCUGAGGACACUCAGAGUGCUUCCAUGUGUAACUGGUGUUUGGCUGGGCCAGCCCUCAUUGGUCCCUGCAAUUAUUAUUACUGCUUCUUGACAGGAGGAAACCGAGGCUCAGCGCCCCUGGGAUCCAGACACAGUCUGCCUGGCUCCCGAGCCCUCGGCUUUAACCUCUCUUAGCAUUGCUUGCUGUGUGUUUGAUAAAUGGUGAUGGGACUGACCGAAUGAAGUCACCCAGGCAAGUGUUUCCAGGCUGGGGUGGGCCUCCCUGAGUCCCCAGGGGACCGCUUCAACCACGUCCGUCUUUGACUUGGACUCUGACACAGAUGACUCAGGGUGAAGUCAUGCUCCCAGGGAGGAGACCCUGGCCCUGUGGUGGAGAGGGCUGCCCAGUGUGAUCCGGGGCUUCCAGCUUCUAGCUCCGCGCCGUGGUUGGCAGAUUCCUCCACCUCCUUUCUUUCCUCCCACAUUCUGAAAGCAAAGGGCUCCCUGAUGGAGGCAGCCUGAAGGCUGGGCCUCAGGCGUCUGAGCAGAUUUCAAAGGUCUCUUAUCUGAUCUCGUAGACCCUUUCCCCCUCUGUCUGACUGCAGGGAGGUAGUGGCAUAUGCCACCUCUGACAAGCCCACGUAUUGCCGAGCCAUCCCUGCCAUGGCCCAGGCUGGCAGCUUAGAUGGAGGAAGUAAUCUGCUAGUGGGUAUGUGGGUGUAUGUGUGGUGGUGAGGCUUUCAGACCAGGCCCAAAGGCGCCUUCGUCCUUUGUGCCUUUCUUUUCUUUGUGUCUCUAACUGUUUGAAAUUCAAGAUGCCCUUUGAGGAGGAUUCUGUGUCCCAAAGGAAGCUGGGGUCUGUCUGGGUUCCAGGGCUGUGCCUUGCCGCCCUCAACUGCCAUCCCCCACCUCUUCUCUUCUCUUCUCUUCUCUUCUCUUCUCUUCUCUUCUCUUCU